CGCCCAUGGACCGUACCAUCUGGCAAAGCACUACGGGGAAUGUAGUCCGAUGUGACCCUCUGGGAGAAUGGAAACUCUCCCAAGUGGAAGGAGCAUUCUGAGGCAGCCACAUAGAAAAGGAUCCAGAAGGUGACAGUCCAGCAAACUAAAAACAUAAGAAAUGAUUCCCUUGAACACCAAGCCAUUCAUCCGAGAGAUCAGAUGCAGGAUUCAUAUUGGUCACCAACUCCUGCCUUGCAAAGAAAGAGCAGCUUCAUUCACAUUGAACCAGGCAGCUACAUUGAACAAAUGGCUACACUGAGCAACCUGGAAAGAAUUGGUCUAAUCCCUCUGCCAAUAUUCAGUUCCAGAAAAAGAGGGCAGCCUGUGUGUUUAUCAGCCUGGUCUUACCCAUGGUUUCCCUAUGGCUAUUGGAAAGAAAACCCAUGAGGGAAUUUGGCCCCUGUCAGGAGAGGAAAAAAAGAUUUCCCCAACCUACCCUAGAAUUAAGCCUAGAAAACUUACUUCCUUAGACCAUAUCUUUUACUGGGAAAGGGAUGCAAGGUUUUUUAAAAAUCACUAAUAAUAGUUGGACACCAAUGGUUAGCUAUUUCUCCAUCACCUGCACUCUGAGAAGGCUGACUAGGUGUCAAAACACAGUCAACAAUUCUAAGUAAUUGAAACUAUGAAGACAGUCACAUUUUCCUCACUUUUAUGGUACACUUGUAUUUCUUUCUCUUGUCUAUGCACAUGUGAACACUGCACCUUGGGUAUUCUCAAAACAGAGUGUAAAAUACUUUCAAGCUCUGGCAGACACAAAGACCAUUUGCUCUCAUUGAGGAGCAUCACAGCUCUGUUGAGAAUGAAAACUGUCUCCGUGGUGAUAAGGAAUACCAGGGAGAGUAUGUGUACACACACGUUGCCUGCAAUUCCUGAAUAGUAUGUAUGAAUAACUUUAUAAAUGGGUCACCAGGUUGCUGGCAAAGAAUGCUGCACAACAAAGAUAGUUUUUCCUAAGACAGAAACAAGAGUAAGUACAGAUCUGUUGGUUAAUGAAUGUCUUUGGCAAGUUCCCCAUUGUAAAAUGUUUUGGUGGAAACACUGGGCAUCUGGGGCAUCAAAAUAUUAUCCCCGAAACAGUCCAAAGGAACCAAUAAAAACUAGCAAAU